rnacentral:rRNA from 1 species
UACGGAGGGGGGCUAGCGUUGUUCGGAAUUACUGGGCGUAAAGCGCACGUAGGCGGCUUUGUAAGUUAGAGGUGAAAGCCCGGGGCUCAACCCCCGGAAUUGCCUUUAAGACUGCAUCGCUAGAAUUGUGGAGAGGUGAGUGGAAUUCCGAGUGUAGAGGUGAAAUUCGUAGAUAUUCGGAAGAACACCAGUGGCGAAGGCGACUCACUGGACACAUAUUGACGCUGAGGUGCGAAAGCGUGGGGAGCAAACAGG